rnacentral:rRNA from 1 species
GAGGAAAAGAAACCAACAGGGAUUGCCCCAGUAACGGCGAGUGAAGCGGCAACAGCUCAAAUUUGAAAUCUGGCCCCCCGGCCCGAGUUGUAAUUUGCAGAGGAUGCUUUGGGCGCGGUGCCUUCCGAGUUCCCUGGAACGGGACGCCACAGAGGGUGAGAGCCCCGUCUGGUCGGCCACCAAGCCUGUGUAAAGCUCCUUCGACGAGUCGAGUAGUUUGGGAAUGCUGCUCAAAAUGGGAGGUAUAUGUCUUCUAAAGCUAAAUACCGGCCAGAGACCGAUAGCGCACAAGUAGAGUGAUCGAAAGAUGAAAAGCACUUUGAAAAGAGAGUUAAACAGCACGUGAAAUUGUUGAAAGGGAAGCGUUCAUGACCAGACUUGGCCCGGCUGAUCAUCCAGCGUUCUCGCUGGUGCACUCUGCCGGUCCAGGCCAGCAUCAGUUCGCCACGGGGGAUAAAGGUUUCGGGAAUGUGGCUCCUCGGAGUGUUAUAGCCCGUUGCGUAAUACCCUGGGGCGGACUGAGGUCCGCGCUCUGCAAGGAUGCUGGCGUAAUGGUCAUCAACGACCCGUCUUGAAACACGGACCAAGGAGUCGUCUUCGUAUGCGAGUGUUCGGGUGUAAAACCCCUACGCGUAAUGAAAGUGAACGCAGGUGGGAGCUUCGGCGCACCAUCGACCGAUCCUGAUGUUCUCGGAUGGAUUUGAGUAAGAGCAUACGGGGCCGGACCCGAAAGAAGGUGAACUAUGCCUGUAUAGGGUGAAGCCAGAGGAAACUCUGGUGGAGGCUCGCAGCGGUUCUGACGUGCAAAUCGAUCGUCAAAUAUGGGCAUGGGGGCGAAAGACUAAUCGAACCUUCUAGUAGCUGGUUUCCGCCGAAGUUUCCCUCAGGAUAGCAGUGUUGAACUCAGUUUUAUGAGGUAAAGCGAAUGAUUAGGGACCCGGGGGCGCUAUUUUGCCUUCAUCCAUUCUCAAACUUUAAAUAUGUAAGAAGCCCUUGUUGC